CAAGUUCCUUAUGGUAGAGUGGAUAGUCUUUCAUCUUUGCUUAUCGAGAGUAGAAUCUCCCUGCUUUCUUCAUCUUCUUUGGUUCUUGUAAUCAUCAUUAGAGUAAGACGGAGAUUAGAGUAAAGCCUUCUAUUCUUCAACUUGCUUCUAACGAGACAGUGGUGGUGAUGUUAACUUCUGCUUGUUGACGUUGGUGUUGACUUUAGUUCCCACUUUUCUGAUGUCCUUCAUUGGCUCGGGUAGGAGGGAAUGGAUGACAAGGAUGUGGGAGAUUCAAAAGGAAAACCCAGCUAGGCAACUGAUGUCAUUGUAGAUAGAAGACCCACAAUACACCAACAAUCAUUACAAAGAAACAAAUCGGACAAUUUCAUAAAGACAAGCAUCAUCAUGCAAACACAAAAUUCCACCAGUCAACACAGAGUCAAGAAACGAUGCUAAACGUUGUUAAUAAGGCUACAAGGGGUACUCCUAAGCAGGG
rnacentral:lncRNA from 1 species